AUUUCUGAUGUGAGAUUGUAGCCAACUGUGUCAGUUCAGUUUUGAAUCGAACAUAUAACGUGACAGAUCUCUUCGAUCAUGGAGAUUGAAAUAAUUACCAAACAAACUCUCAUUUUCUUACAGACUUUAAUAUUUCUUUACUUUAUCAUAAUUGUUCUUAUGUAUAUAAUUGUUGAACUUCUUAGUGAAAUAUCUCUGACAAGACUCUACAAUAUUUAUUUAUAAUAUUUGUACUUAUAAUAUCAACAUGAUUUCGACAUUACAUUGUUACUUACGAAGAAUAUGGAGAACAAUUUUAAUGUGACACAUCCAUAUCUGAAUUCGAAUAUGCUAUAAUCACUAAAUUGAUAAUUGUCCUCAAUAUAUUUAAGUGUAUUGAAGCAACGACGAAGCAAAUCAAUAAACGGCGACACAAUAAAAAUGCAUCCAAAACACUAUUCAUGAUGGCACAUACACAUUUAUGACAAAAAAAUUUAAGCCUGGACAAAGGCUCGCAAUGCAUAAAAAAGCCAGCUGAAUUAAAUAAAUGACCAUCGCUUUAAUGAUUUGACAGGAGGAUAUGUCUAUUAUCAGAUACCUCGACACUUUAGAGUGAUGACAGAAGAAGGUGAAACUGAAAUAUUAAUCGCGUGUACACAUCAUGGGCGUACAUACAUAUCAAUUCUGAAUCUGAGUUCUUAUCUCUAAUACAAUAAAAUAGUCCGUCAUUUUUUACCACACGUUUUACUUUCUUUACAACAAAUAAUAUUUAUUACUGACCGGCGGUACAUUCACGUAAAUGUAUGAUUUAUUCUUGUCUAUUUAAUAUAUCAUUCAAUAAAGAAUAAAAUCCCCAAUUA